UACGUAGGGUGCGAGCGUUAAUCGGAAUUACUGGGCGUAAAGCGUGCGCAGGCGGUUUUGUAAGCCAGAUGUGAAAGCCCCCGGGCUUAACCUGGGAAUGGCAUUUGGGACUGCAAGGCUUGAGUGCGGCAGAGGAGACUGGAAUUCCCGGUGUAGCAGUGAAAUGCGUAGAUAUCGGGAGGAAUACCGAUGGCGAAGGCAGGUCUCUGGGCAGUAACUGACGCUGAGGAGCGAAAGCGUGGGGAGCAAACAGGGAUUAAGAAACCCUGGUACGUCC
rnacentral:rRNA from 1 species